UACGGAGGGGGCUAGCGUUGUUCGGAAUUACUGGGCGUAAAGCGCGUGUAGGCGGCUUGGCAAGUCGGGUGUGAAAGCCCUGGGCUCAACCUAGGAAGUGCACUCGAAACUGCUUCGCUUGAGUGUCGGAGAGGAAAGCGGAAUUCUCGGUGUAGAGGUGAAAUUCGUAGAUAUCGAGAGGAACACCGGUGGCGAAGGCGGCUUUCUGGACGAUAACUGACGCUGAGAUACGAAAGCGUGGGGAGCAAACAGG
rnacentral:rRNA from 1 species